rfam:Triticum aestivum genome assembly, contig: Triticum_aestivum_CS42_TGACv1_scaffold_049435_1BS
CUAGUACUCCCUCUGUCCGAAGUGUCAACAAAAUGGAUAAAAAUACAUUAUAUCUACAACUAAAAUACUUCUAGAUACAUUCUUUUUUAUCCAUUUUGAUGACAAGUAUUUUCGAACGGAGGGAGUAGUAU